CCUUCAAAUCAGGUGCUUCGUAAACUGGCUCCUGCUUUAAAGCUCCAUUAAGUGGUUGCAGUACUGGAGAAUGAGGUGGGCUAACAAGAACGACUCUCAUUUUGUUCUCUUCAAUAUAUCUGCCAUUUUCUUUAGAAAACUGAACCAGGAAAAUGAAGAGGAUUAUCAAAGGGGAAAAUAAAAAGUCAAUUGUUGGGGAAACAAUAUAUACUCACAAAGCUGGGGAUAACUUCCUCAUCUGUAGUACCAUAUGGAACAGUUGUACUUUGAACUAGGAACUUAUCUCUUAACUGCAUAUCAGGAGGAGCUGUCUUCUGAGCUUGCAUGGUAACUAGAUUGAGAUUGAAUCAGAAACAUAGAGAUCAGCUAAAAAAAAAGUAACUAAUACUAAAUAGUAAAUACAAAUCUAAGAGAUAAAUUUAAAGCACUGAGGAUAAUUGCUAUAAUAUGAUCCUACAGUGACAUUAACUGCUAGGUUUGUUUCAGUUAGAAACACUGAAGGCCAACAAAAAGAAAUUCAGUAAUGAAUGAAGAAUCUAGGUGAUAAAACUAAAUUGUGAUACACAAUAACCAUUAUUGUGUUCAUAUAUCAUUUUUGCUGGGAAUGGUGAAAAUGAGAAUGAAAAGACAAUUUCUGGCAUCAAAUUUAUUCUGAGGCAAUUCAGAUGAUGAAAUAACAUGGUCUUGCAUACCACAGAAAGAGCCCAUUUGCACAUUGAGUGCACUCUUCUCUCCUCUCUCAACCUUCACAUUAGCAUUCUUUUUUCCUACUGUUGUAUAUUACCAUUCUAUCUCCCUUGUUCUAUCAUAAUUUCCAGUCUUUAGCUUGCACAUCACAUAAUUUGAAAACCAGCUAGUACAUGAGGUUUUUUGCCGAUUUAAUUUCCAUGGAGUGAUUUCCAGGGAUAGAAUAUUUAUUAAAUGGAUUAACUGAAACAAAAGAAACUGCUCAGAAUAGUCCACUAACAAGACUGACUUCACGAUGAU
rnacentral:lncRNA from 1 species